UACGGAGGGUGCAAGCGUUAUCCGGAUUUACUGGGUUUAAAGGGUGCGUAGGCGGUUCCAUAAGUCAGUGGUGAAAUACGGCAGCUCAACUGUCGAGGUGCCAUUGAUACUGCGGAACUUGAGUGUUGAUGAGGCAGGCGGAAUUGACGGUGUAGCGGUGAAAUGCUUAGAUAUCGUCAAGAACACCGAUAGCGAAGGCAGCUUGCCAAGCAACAACUGACGCUCAGGCACGAAAGUGCGGGGAUCAAACAGG
rnacentral:rRNA from 1 species